rnacentral:rRNA from 1 species
GCCUAACACAUGCAAGUCGAACGAGCGAGAGAGAGCUUGCUUUCUCGAGCGAGUGGCGAACGGGUGAGUAACGCGUGAGGAACCUGCCUCAAAGAGGGGGACAACAGUUGGAAACGACUGCUAAUACCGCAUAAGCCCACGGUGCCGCAUGGUACAGAGGGAAAAGGAGCAAUCCGCUUUGAGAUGGCCUCGCGUCCGAUUAGCUAGUUGGUGAGGUAACGGCCCACCAAGGCGACGAUCGGUAGCCGGACUGAGAGGUUGAACGGCCACAUUGGGACUGAGACACGGCCCAGACUCCUACGGGAGGCAGCAGUGGGGAAUAUUGCACAAUGGGGGAAACCCUGAUGCAGCGACGCCGCGUGGAGGAAGAAGGUCUUCGGAUUGUAAACUCCUGUUGUUGGGGAAGAUAAUGACGGUACCCAACAAGGAAGUGACGGCUAACUACGUGCCAGCAGCCGCGGUAAAACGUAGGUCACAAGCGUUGUCCGGAAUUACUGGGUGUAAAGGGAGCGCAGGCGGGAAGACAAGUUGGAAGUGAAAUCUAUGGGCUCAACCCAUAAACUGCUUUCAAAACUGUUUUUCUUGAGUAGUGCAGAGGUAGGCGGAAUUCCCGGUGUAGCGGUGGAAUGCGUAGAUAUCGGGAGGAACACCAGUGGCGAAGGCGGCCUACUGGGCACCAACUGACGCUGAGGCUCGAAAG